UUGCAAACUGGAGAUGGCGACCGGCGCACGGGUGAGUAACACGCUAUCCAACCUGCCGAUAACUCGGGGAUAGCCUUUCGAAAGAAAGAUUAAUACCCGAUGGUAUAAUCANACCGCAUGGUCUUGUUAUUAAAGAAUUUCGGUUAUCGAUGGGGAUGCGUUCCAUUAGGCAGUUGGUGAGGUAACGGCUCACCAAACCUUCGAUGGAUAGGGGUUCUGAGAGGAAGGUCCCCCACAUUGGAACUGAGACACGGUCCAAACUCNUACGGGAGGCAGCAGUGAGGAAUAUUGGUCAAUGGGCGCAGGCCUGAACCAGCCAAGUAGCGUGAAGGAUGACUGCCCUAUGGGUUGUAAACUUCUUUUAUAUGGGAAUAAAGUUUUCCACGUGUGGAAUUUUGUAUGUACCNAUAUGAAUAAGGAUCGGCUAACUCCGUGCCAGCAGCCCGCGGUAAUACGGAGGAUCCGAGCGUUAUCCGGAUUUAUUGGGUUUAAAGGGAGCGUAGGUGGACAGUUAAGUCAGUUGUGAAAGUUUGCGGCUCAACCGUAAAAUUGCAGUUGAUACUGGCUGUCUUGAGUACAGUAGAGGUGGGCGGAAUUCGUGGUGUAGCGGUGAAAUGCUUAGAUAUCACGAAGAACUCCGAUUGCGAAGGCAGCUCACUGGACUGCAACUGACACUGAUGCUCGAAAGUGUGGGUAUCAAACAGGAUUAGAUACCCUGGUAGUCCACACAGUAAACGAUGAAUACUCGCUGUUUGCGAUAUACAGUAAGCGGCCAAGCGAAAGCAUUAAGUAUUCCACCUGGGGAGUACGCCGGCAACGGUGAAAACUCAAAGGAAUUGACGGGGGCCCGCACAAGCGGGAGGAACAUGUGGNUUUAAUUCGAUGAUACGCGAGGAACCUUUACCCGGGCUUAAAUUGCAUUUGAAUAUUUUGGAAACAGUAUAGCCGUAAGGCAAAUGUGAAGGUGCUGCAUGGUUGUCGUCAGCUCGUGCCGUGAGGUGUCGGCUUAAGUGCCAUAACGAGCGCAACCCUUAUCUUUAGUUACUAACAGGUCAUGCUGAGGACUCUAGAGAGACUGCCGUCGUAAGAUGUGAGGAAGGUGGGGAUGACGUCAAAUCAGCACGGCCCUUACGUCCGGGGCUACACACGUGUUACAAUGGGGGGUACAGAAGGCAGCUACCUGGUGACAGGAUGCUAAUCCCAAAAGCCUCUCUCAGUUCGGAUCGAAGUCUGCAACCCGACUUCGUGAAGCUGGAUUCGCUAGUAAUCGCGCAUCAGCCAUGGCGCGGUGAAUACGUUCCCGGGCCUUGUACACACCGCCCGUCAAGCCAUGAAAGCCCGGGGGUACCUGAAGUACGUAACCGCAAGGAGCUCCUAGG
rnacentral:rRNA from 1 species